AGGACGAACGCUGGCGGCGUGCUUAACACAUGCAAGUCGAGCGGUAAGGCCUUUCGGGGUACACGAGCGGCGAACGGGUGAGUAACACGUGGGUGAUCUGCCCUGCACUUCGGGAUAAGCCUGGGAAACUGGGUCUAAUACCGGAUAUGACCUCCUAUCGCAUGGUGGGUGGUGGAAAAGAUUUAUCGGUGCGAGGGUGGGCCCGCGGCCUAUCAGCUUGUUGGUGGGUAAUGGCCUACCAAGGCGA
rnacentral:rRNA from 1 species